GUCUCGUCACGUGACUCGCGAGAUUUUACGAUAAUUUUCACUUCCGGGCAGCUCAGACAUUAGAGUUGUGUAUUGAUUUAAGCAUGUUUCUGGUUUAUACAAAGCUUUCGAGAAAAAGUUAAGUAGUUUUACAAAGCAGAAGGGUUCUCCGACUUACGAUGGAUGAAUUGCGUGCCUUAAAAGCUUGGGUGCGAGUGUUAACGAGGAAAAUUUCGAUCAAAGUACAGAUUUUUCUUAAAUCAGAGGACGAUAAUGUUAUUAUCAGCUGAUUACAGAGGAAGAGUUUUGUCAGUGUCCGAUGGGUACAAACGUCAUAUUGUGGCUGCAUCACUUUUGUUUGGCAGAAGUACAACUGAGAACGUGGUUGAGGAACACAGCUGAAAGAUGCAGUUGCUUUAAGCAGUACCUAAGAUUUUGAUCAACAUUCUUCAAAAUGCAAAUCAAAUACAGGUUAUUGUCUGCACAUCUUGCAAUGGAUGUUUUGAUUGAGAACUUAUCGAGCAUAAAGACCAGCCAUGUACCUAUCCUGUCAUGACAUUAUUAAAGUACUCUGUGACAGUGGGAAGAUGUAAUUUAAAACAUGACAUGGCUCUAUGUUACUGCAUCAUAUAUCGAGCCAAGUUUACUUAUAAACUGAAGGAAAACAGUCAAGCAUCAUUUGGAAUUGGAGCUACGUAUAUCACCGCCUUCACAAUAUGCCAGCUUACAUAACCAAGAAAGCACAGUUACCAGUUGUACCUAUGAUGUCGGACGAGAUCCUGAGAAUUCUUUCAGUGCACUCAUCACUACCUGCAAAGAAAAGAAAAUUUGAAAUGACUUGUAUCAACCCUUUUGUAUUUCAUCUGGCUUGUACUUUUAGUACUCAUUAUCCUUUAGACCAUUCCAAGUUUUUCCUAUGUUUUUUUAGCGUCCGCAUGCGCCUUGGUUUUUGACACCCCAUAUAAGAAAAAACACACAACAGCAGGAGUCCUGAAAUCGAUUAAGAAAGAGGGCGUAUAAGGCGUGUACAAUCCCCCGCUCUGAGACAAAACGUUUCUCAAUUUUCAAAAUUCACAGAAAUGUCACAUUUUUCUAAAAUCAUGUUCUCGGUAAUGUCAUCUUCAAAACAUUCUAUUAUUUUAUUUUACUGAACGACAUAUCAUUUGAUAAUCUUUAUUUCAAAAUUGACAGUUUAGCAUAUUUAGUGGAAAAUGGGUUUAAUAGAGCUAUAAAAAACGAAUUUUGAACAUGAAUGGGUCAAGUCUCCAUUCUUCGUAAACGCUUAAAUGAUGAAAAUGUAAAUGCGAAAUCUAUUUCAUUUGUCCAAAAAAUGGAAUCUGAACCCAUUCUAUAUGAAAAUCGAACUUUUCUGAAAAAAUUUACGCUUCAACAAACCCGUUCAUUUAAAUCACAAUGAAAGACAUCAACAAUGUAUAUACUUCGUAGCGUAGUGGUUAAACUGGUUGGUCUUGGACCCAAUCUGCACUAGGGAGAGAGUUCGAAUCAUA